CGAUUAGCUCAGCGGUAGAGCAAUUGACUGCAGAUCAAUAGGUAACCGGUUCGACUCCGGUAUCG
rnacentral:tRNA from 1 species